rnacentral:rRNA from 1 species
CCUACGGGUGGCAGCAGUGAGGAAUAUUGGUCAAUGAGCGCGAGCCUGAACCAGCCAAGUAGCGUGAAGGAUGACUGCCCUACGGGUUUUAAACUUCUUUUAUAAAGGAAUAAAGUGAGGCACGUGUGCCUUUUUGUAUGUACUUUAUGAAUAAGGACCGUCUAAUUCCGUGCCAGCAGCCGCGGUGAUACGGAAGGUCCGGGCGUUGGCCGGAUUUGUUGGGUUUAAAGGGAGCGUAGGCCGGUCUUUAAGCGUGCCGUGAAAUUUUGUGGCUCAACCAUGAGAGUGCGGCGCGAACUGGAGACCUUGAGUGCGCGGAAGGCAGGCGGAAUUCGUGGUGUAGCGGUGAAAUGCUUAGAUAUCACGAAGAACUCCGAGUGCGAAGGCAGCUUACUAAACUGCCACUGACAUUGAUGCUCGAAAGUGUGGGUAUCAAACAGGAUUAGAUACCCCAGUAGUC